GGCAGAAAUUGCAUUUCUGAUUAAAAAUUCUAAAAGUGGAGUAAAAAAAACCCAAUAACUUGUGUUUUCCAUGGAACUUUCUCUACUUUUUGAGCAUAGGAUCAUAAAGGCUCUUUGCAAAUGACACCAACAAAGACUGAAUAUUAACCCCUUAAGGACCAAACUUCUGGACUAAAAGGGAAUCAUGACAUGUCACACAUGUCAUGUGUCCUUAAGGGG